AGGGCAGAAGCCAGCAAAUGCCCAUUUCCCUCUAGCUCUGCAGCCCUUACCAGCUGCUCAGUAAAACACACAAACACACAAGCACGCGCGCACACGCGCAGGCAAGGGAGAUGAGACAGCUCAGUCCAUAAGCCUUCAGGGUGCUGCUGCUGCUGCUGCUGCUGACUCAUCCUUCCCCACUCGCCCAUGUAGGUGGGGGAAACGAGAGGAAUGGGUGGCAGGGAGAGAGGGGGGGGGUGAUCCUUCCCGCGCAGUCCUCAGCAAGCAUAAAGCGCCCUUUACGCUAGAAACAGGAUGAGCCUAAGGCGACUGCCGUGCAGAAAUGUGGCUUGGUUUGGCACGCACUCGCUUCAGGGCAGUCGAAGAAGCCGGAGCUUCUUCCUCUCCCUCUCGGUAUUACGGGUAUUUUCAGCCUUGUUAGGCACCUGGUUAUAUUGAGAACUGCAAGCAAGCCUCUUUCCAUCAGCUCUGUAGCAUGUGCCUCAUUCGGAAUCCAGCCCUCCAUUUAUAACAAUACUCUGCUUAAUGUAUAAAUUAAGGUAUCUUAUAAUUUAUAAAUUAUACAGUAAAUGUUUAAUUAUCUCUGGCUGAAACAUAUAAGUGACUUUGGUGAUGAUGAUGGUAAUGAUAGAAGGGGGGUAUCAUAUU
rnacentral:lncRNA from 1 species